rnacentral:rRNA from 1 species
GACGAACGCUGGCGGCGUGCCUAAUACAUGCAAGUCGAACGCAGUGGGUACGGGUUAUUAACACGUGGGUAACCUCCCAUCACAGGGGAUAACCCUUGGAAACAGGUGCUAAACCGCUACUGAUGGAUGGACCCGCGGUGCAUUAGCUAGUUGGAGAGGUAACGGCUCAACAAGGCCAAGAUCCAUAGCCGACUUGGGUGGGUGAUCUGCCACACUGGGCCUGAGACACGGCCCAGACUCCUACGGGAGGCAGCAGUAGGGAAUCUUCGGCAAGGGACGAAAGUCUGACCGAGCCACGCCGCGUGAAUGAAGAAGGUUUUCGGAUCGUAAAACUCUGUUGUUAGAGAAGCGGUAUCUAACCAGAAAGCCACGGCUAACUACGUGCCAGCAGCCGCGGUAAUUC